GAUUCUACUCGGUUUGUAGGAUUGUUGUGGCUAGGAUCGUACCAGAUCGCCGAGCUACAUUGUAAAAACGAUGGGAUCGUACUUUUUUUCCCAAACGAUAUGUGAAAAAAGAACCCACUUCUCUUCUCACUACAAGAAAUCCGCGAUAUAGAGGCGGUGUCCUAGUGGCUGUUUUAGAAACCGACCGUAAAUCUAGCAAUUAAGUACGCCCCUAAGAAAGUUUUUUUCACUCUCUCCUGAUGCUAAGUAUCCCACUUACAUAUCUCAUUUUUUUCCUUUUUUCUUGAAGCUAAGUCUAAAAAAACCUUGAGUUUCUCAUUGUUCAUUUCUCUCUAGUGUUUCCAUGCCAAAAGCCACCAUUAACACCAAUCCCAUCGAUAAAAGGUUCCUCUAUAUAUUCUCAAAUCCAUUUUGUGCUUUUAAUUUUUUUUCUUCUAGAUUUAGAUCUAAUUUACGCAAUCACGCGAUUUGAUUCGAUGUGGUUGUACCGAUUGAUCUCAAAUAAAGCUAGUUUAUUUCCAAUUUGUAACAAUGAUGAGUUUGCCCUUUCAUAUGUUCUUUCGCAAAUGCUCUCGGACGUAUCAAUGAUCAAAUUUUGAUCUAUUUUAUGACUUUGUUCUUCCCUUUCCUUUUCAUAAACCCUAGCCGCUUACAUGAAUUUCAACUUGGAGCUUCAUUAUGGUUUGAGAUUCUGUUUUUGAUCUGCUUUUGUUUCUCUUUAUUAGACUGUAAUUUUCGUUCAGUUUGUUAGAUCCACCUUUGAAGAAAUAUGGUUGUGGCAGAGGCCCAGUACAUGGUUGCUUUGAGUGUUAAGAGGGCCUAAAUGGGAACACUUACGGUGUGAAAUACAUCCUUUGGCUAUUGAUGAAAUUGCUCUUUAGAUUUUGUGGACCGAGUCAUUGAAGUCAUGUAUAUAUUCCUGACAAUGGCUUUAGGAACUGACGAUGUUGUUAAGAGUAAUGGUAUAGUCUUAGCAGGAAGGACACAAUCUUAUCUUUCAACAAGUGUGGAUUCCAGCUCUCACCAUAAUUGUACUCUCAGAGAUCAGGGAUGAUACUUUUGUUGCAGCUACAGUUUGGGGUUGUUUCUAAUUUACUGCAUGUUAGGGAGCCAAAGUCUUCUCUCAGUGCGAAUGAGCUUGUUCUCUCUCAGCCUAAUGACUUGGGGUACAACACCCCUUCCCCCAUCAAAACAGUCCUCGUCACGAGGUGUGAAGGCCCACAAUGUAAAUGGUCUAAAGCCUAAUAACAAUUCCUUGGUUCCAUGAAGCUGUCGGUGGGAAGGUUCUUGAGAGAAUUGGCUCUUGGGAGUUAUUGCAAGCUGGCAAACACUUUCUUGGUUGGAGAUAAGCAAAAAUCUCUAUUGGUAGGUAUGGAGACAAGAAUCUUAUUCUCUCCCUUGUGAUUGGCUACUGCAACGAUGGAGAUAAGGUCACUUGUGUUCCCAAUGUUGUGGCCUAAUGAUCCCAUUGUUCCACUUACCAUCGCAGGGAUGCUUCAAUUCAAGCCUAUCUUCCUUGGCAAGGUAAGGUUUGGUUUGCCAGCUGACAGAUUAUGGGUUAGUGUUUAUGAAGAUGAUAAUGAGGCUUUUUAGCUAUAGUCUGACGAGGUUGAUGUUCAGGUUGAUAGUAUAAAAAGGUUGGGUGAAGAGGACAACUUCUGGACCAGUGGAGUGACAGGUCUAUGUGGUCCUUGCUCAGAAAUUUAUUAUGAUUUUCAUCCUGAGGGGGGAUAUAUAGAUGCCAUAGGUAUGAAAUAGUACGAGAUUGACAAUAUUUUAUAUUCAUUUUUUACAUUUUGUGGGUUGGGUAGGGGGAUGAAAGCAAGAUCUUGGUGAUGAUACAAGGUUUAUAGAGUUCUACAAUCUAGUAUUGAUGCAAUACAACAAAAAAUAUUAUGGUUCUCUUGAACCUCUAAAGCAGAAGAACAUAGAUAGUGCGCUUGGAUUGGAGGGUAUGGCUUGCAUUCUUCAAAAGAUAGCCGAGCUAAAUCUUGUGACCAACCUUCUUCAUAUUAUACAAGUCAUAAGCAAUAGCAGAUUAUUUAGAUUUAAACAUUUGUAAUUUUAUUGUACUUUGAUUUUAUUUGUUUAAUUUGUAAAAGACAUAUUUACUUUGUUUUAUCAUAUAUUUGGAUCUAUUAUUUGUCAAUGCAAGAUAUUUUGAUUUUAUUU